AUGAUCGCCGGCGCCGGCAUGUUAUGUCCGGGGGAACACGCCGAGCAUCUUGCCCCGGCCGAGGCACUCGGAGAGCUUCUUGGCGCCGUCCACCUCCGCGGCCAGGAGCUCCUGCAGGAACCCGCACGCGCCCGCGGCCACCAUCUGCUUCCGGCACCGCCGGGACUGCGCCACGGCCAGCAGAAGGGAAACGGGGAACCGCUUGUCGGCGCCCCGGACGGCCGGGUCCAGCAGCUGGACCGCGUUCACGAUGCCCAUCUCGUCCUUCUUGAACGCCUUCCGGUGGCUGCUUGCCGCGACGACGAGUGUGGCCAGCGCCCUCGCCGCGGCGUCCCUCUCGCCCACGGCCUUGGCCUCCAGCAUCCAGAUCAGCCUCGGCAUCGCGCCCCCGGCCUCAUUCCUCGCCUUGCUGCUGCUGCUCACGCUGCACAGCUCCGCCAGCGCCAUGGCGGCCUCUGUCCGGGUGCUCGCCCUGUCGCUGCCCAGCGCGGCCAGGACGUGGCUCACGAAGCCGGCGGACACGGCUAUCUCGGCGAUGUAGCGGAAGGUGGCCAUGUUGCGGAGGAGCCCGAACGCCGGCGCGAGGCCCGGCGCGUCGCCGCGGCAGGACUCCAGGAAGUCUUUCACGCAGCCGAGCGCGCCUUCCUGGAAAGCCUCGACCUUGAGCCUCUGCCCCUCGUCGUCGUCGCUGGCCGUCAAGUUCUGGAGGCAGCCGAGCGCGAGCUCCUGCGUCCGCGGAGUGCCGAGCGAGACGAGCUGCACGAUCAGCGGGAGCGCGCCCUCGUCGCGGAACGCGGGGAGCAGGUCCGGGAACGCGGCGAUGUUCCGGAGCACGCCCGCGGCGGCGGCCUGCGACGCCGGGGUGCCGGCGGCGCAGGCCACGAGGAGCGCGGCCACGCCGCCGCGCGCCGAGACGGCCGCCGCCGCGUCCCGCGACGAGGCGGUGAGCGGCUCCAGGGCGACGCACGCCUGCUCCGCGCUGGCACCGCCGGACUCGAGCGCGCGGCAGAGGUGGGGCACGACGGUGCCCGACUCCUGGGCCAGGAACAGGCAGCCGGCGUCGGAGGACGCGAAGGCGGCGAGCACGGACACGGCCUUGUCGCGGGAGGCCGGGAGGAGGUCGCCGGAGUCGAGCAUCGCGGCGACCGCGGAGACGGCGGCGGCGGAGUGCGACGCCGGGAGGGACCCGACGGACUCGGCGAGCGAGUCGAGCGCGGCGGCGCGGGAGACGGCGGAGCCGAGCCGGAGGCGGGGGAGCAGGCUGUCGGAGCCGCCGCCUUCGCCCCCGGCGGGGGACGGGGAGACGAGCAGGCGCGCGUCGGCCGCGAGCUGGGAGAGCGAGGCGGCGGACGAGGAGAGGAGCGAGACGGUGUGGAGGUGGCCGAGGGCAGGGCCGCCGCAGACGGAGAGGAGGGCCCCGAGGGCGGAGGCGAGGGGGGAGAGCAGCGGCGCGGAGGGCGGGAAGGCGGGGUGGGAGAGCGAGGCGGAGAGCGAGGAGACGGAGGCGGAGAUGGAGGGCCAGUGGCGGCGGAAGGCCGGGGAGGAGGCGGCCGCGGCGGGGAGGUCGGCCAGGAGGCGGAGGCACUCCGCGAGCGCGUCGCCGGUGGGCGGCGGCGGUUGCAUGGCGUGGUGGACUGGAGGGGAGGCGGAGACGGAAUGGGAGAGGGGACUGGGGAGGGAACUGAAAUGCCGAAAUGCUGGGCGCGUCUAGUGCGAAAUUGCGCUGGAUCUGCGCGCCACUAG
rnacentral:rRNA from 1 species